rnacentral:rRNA from 1 species
AACGAACGCUGGCGGCGGGGCUUAGGCAUGCAAGUCGAGCGAGAAAGCCGCAAGGCAAGUACAGCGGCGUAAGGGUGAGUAAUAGGUAGUCAACGUACCCUCGAGACGCGAAUAAUUUCCCGAAAGGGAUUGUAAUGCGCGAUGAGACCACGCUCCCUUCGGGGAGAGAGGUCAAAGGUCAGGGAUCCUUCGGGACCUGGCGCUCGUGGAGCGGACGACCUCCGAUUAGCUAGANGGGCGGGGUAACGGCCCACCAUGGCUGUGAUCGGUAGCCGGCCUGAGAGGGUGUUCGGCCACACUGGGACUGAGACACUGCCCAGACUCCUACGGGAGGCAGCAGUUGGGAAUAUUGCGCAAUGGACGAAAGUCUGACGCAGCGACGCCGCGUGGAGAUGAAGGCCUUAGGGUCGUAAACUCCUUUUGCGAGGGAGUAAUUUGUGAAAGUAUCUCGCGAAUAAGCACCGGCUAACUCCGUGCCAGCCGCCGCCGU